AUGACAGCUGCGGGACAGACAGAAACAUAUCACCUGUCUUCUGUCAUUACUGCAUCUCUUUGAUCAUAUGAAUGGAAGUCAAUUCUUCAAUUAGAAUUGAGGUAGCAAACAGGAAGCAGAAUUGUAAUUUGACUUUUAAGGAAGUAGAUAUAAAAUUCAAAAUAACUGCUGUAGUAGUAUUUAAUAAGGAAUAUCAUUUUUCAGUCAAAAUUACCCAUAAAAAUGUGAUCAUAAACACAACAUGUGGGGGUACUUCCAGAAACAUUAUAUGCUAUUAAUAAUCAGAGUUUUGUACAACUGCUAUAUGAAAAUACAAACUCAAAAGAUUAUAGUCAAUUUAUUUAUUUUUUAAAUGGACAAUAUGAAUUUUGUUUAUGUUAUCUGACAACAAUGUGAUGAUGAUUUUGUGGUGCUGAAUGGCAAAACUGUGCUAAAUAUUUAGAGAGCAUUAAACUUGGUUUACAGAAAAAUGUCUAAUCAAUUAAGAAAAAUCUAUUGCACAGAGCAGGGAAUAAAUGGGCACAAUAGGUCAAGAUGAUGUCAUUAUCUGUUUUGUCACAACACUUGUUUAAUUUCUCUGUUGUGUUACUGUGUUUAAUGCCAUUGAAUUGUAAUUCAAUAAAUUCCACUUCCUGUCAUUUCAAUUUAACAUCCUGAGGGCCAAUUCAACAUGACGGAAACACCUGAGCCAGUGAGAGAACAUGUCCAUGAUAUCAAGUAAUGAUUUGACACAGAUCUCCCUUGAGAAAUCAUCAAACUGUGGAUGGAAAAACACAAAGAGAGUGUUCAAUCUCGGCAAAACAGAUCAGUCAAGAAUGAUUAUAAAUGAACUAACACCAACCUUGCUGAUUGCGGUCAGCACACUGGAGUAAGACACCAUCUGCAGGUAUGACAGGAUCAGAGGGUUGGGUGACGGACCUAUCAUAGCCUGCUCCAGAAGAGAUUCUGUAUCAGGGAAACAUACAGAAAUAUGGUAUGACAGAAAAGACCAGGAUGUGCACUUGAAGACAGCAGGUGGCAUAUAUCUCUGAGACUCACUGGGAUGAAACAGUACCUGUUAAAUAGAGGUAGUCCCAUGUAGCUCCUUUGGGACAGUUCUUGUUUAUGUUAAUGGCCCACUGAUGAUCACUGCAGCGCUCCUUCCACACCUACAGGAUAACCUGCUUCAGACUCACCAUCUGCCUCUCAGAUCAUCACAACACACAUGAAUUAACAUGCAGCUUUAAUGAGCUGAUAUUACCUGGAAGACUGUUUGAAUUUAUAUAUACAUUCAUAUCCUGUUGUUUUCUAUGCUCAUCAAAGAAACAUUAUAAAUUCACUACCAUAAACAGACAUUCUGACAGCUA